GUUGGUGGUUCAGUGGUAAAACUCUCGCCUUCCAUGCGGAAGACCUGGGUUCGAUUUCCAGCCAAC
rnacentral:tRNA from 1 species